AUUGAACGCUGGCGGCAGGCCUAACACAUGCAAGUCGGACGAGCGGCGGACGGGUGAGUAAGGUAUGGGGAUCUGCCUGAUGGAGGGGGAUAACUACUGUGAAACGUAGCUAAUACCGCAUAACAUCAGAUGAACCCAUAUGGGAUUAGCUAGUAGGUGAGGUAACGGCUCACCUAGGCGACGAGCCCUAGCUGGUCUGAGAGGAUGAUCAGCCACACUGGGACGUAGACACGGCCCAGACUCCUACGGGAGGCAGCAGUGGGGAAUAUUGCACAAUGGGCGCAAGCCUGAUGCAGCCAUGCCGCGUGUAUGAAGAAGGCCUUCGGGUUGUAAAGUACUUUCAGUCGGGAGGCGUUACCGACAGAAGAAGCACCGGCUAACUCCGUGCCAGCCGCCGCGGUAAUAC
rnacentral:rRNA from 1 species